AACGAACGCUGGCGGCAUGCCUAACACAUGCAAGUCGAACGAGACCUUCGGGUCUAGUGGCGCACGGGUUCGUAACGCGUGGGAACCUGCCCUUAGGGUCGGAAUAACUCCCCGAAAGGGGUGCUAAUACCGGAUAAUGUCUUCGGACCAAAGAUUUAUCGCCUUUGGAUGGGCCCGCGUUGGAUUAGCUAGUUGGUAGGGUAAAAGCCUACCACGGCGACGAUCCAUAGCUGGUCUGAGAGGAUGAUCAGCCACACUGGGACUGAGACACGGCCCAGACUCCUACGGGAGGGAGCAGUGGGGAAUAUUGGAAAAUGGGCGAAAGCCUGAUCCAGCAAUGCCGCGUGAGUGAUGAAGGCCUUAGGGUUGUAAAGCUCUUUUAACCGGGAUGAUAAUGACAGUACCGGGAGAAUAAGCUCCGGCUAACUCCGUG
rnacentral:rRNA from 1 species